rnacentral:tRNA from 2 species
GCUUCCGUAGCUCAGUGGAUUAGAGCGCUUGCUUGCGGAGCAAUAGGUCGCAGGUUCGAGUCCUGCCGGGAGCACCA